rnacentral:lncRNA from 1 species
GCUCAUCGGGCCUUCGUGGGGCAUCCCGUCGUUAAGUUAUUUUAUAGAAAAUGGUCGUUGUUGGCUAAUUAGCUUCUUUUUAGGAGUAGUUAACGAUUCCUAAACUCGUUUGCAUCGAGAAACAAGGAUAAAUAGCAAUCUACAGUAUUUAUUAACUCAAGGUAUCCUAAUAUACUAUACUUAAAUCUCACGUAUGUCCAUGAGAUCCAUGGCGGCUGAACCAUGUGCCCUCGAGUACUGUAUCCCCUCUCUAAGAGCGACGACUGCGGGGCGGUAAGGCAGAUUCCCCCGUUUCUAGCGUCGGUGGCCUAGCAGAGGUCGUUUUCCUCCGGAUCCGCUGAUCUAGUUGGAGGAUGAACAAUUGUUCAGGUCCAGAUCCAUCCCGUGCGGAUGUUGGGCGUUCAACAUGGAUUGGUGUGGGUGUUCGUGAGUUUGUCGCUGUCUUCUUGCUCAGCGAUAUAGGAUAGAGGAAGUUCAUCCUAUUCUUCUUAAUUGAGCAGCGGUAGUCUGCAGCAAGCCAAGUACGCAGGUACGAGGGAGUGCUCCAUCCGAGGGAAUUCCUAUAGGGCCAGGGAUGCUUCUACACCACCAGCAUGAUCACGCUUCCUCCUUGGAAUUCCAUGGAAGGUUUGUCCCCAUUAUUUCAUUUUUCUCGUUCUAUUGACCUUACGACCUUGCUCCCAUUCCGCACGGCUACCUCUCGGCUCCUCCUUUGUGGUGUGUGCGUGCGUGCGUGCGUCGGUGAUCAGGGCUUCCACUUAUGGGAAGAGGAGGUUGUUGCGUGAUGUGUUGUUCCCAGGACUGCCCAUCACAUGUUUGAGGUAAUGCCAAAGUUAAACUAGGACACUUUGUUUUAAUGUUCUCUUCCAGUCAUGACCGAGAAUCUUGACCAUGUUACACUAUUCAUUGCUUUAUUGAUCACACGACUAUUCUUCAGCACACAAUUCAUCAGCUGAUUGGCCGUAAACAGUUCAGACAUAUAAUUUGAAAGCAGGUACAUAGUAUAACUUCUCUUGUUGCUUUAUUUUGUACCUAUAGGAAAAAUAACUGUAGUUUUUGAUACUUUGGUUUUUUUAGUACUUUGCUAUCAAACAUGGCCUUAGUUUAAGUGUAAAUGAUUGUUCUCAUGAAAGCCAGCAUGACCAUGUAAGUUGUUCUCAUACAUUGAUUUCAUACGAUAUUAUACUUUGUGCUAAUUUAUUUACAUAGACUAAUAUUCAUAAAUUACUCAAUGUUUUGUAGGACUAAUGGUCCAUCAUAAUAUAUAGAAGCAUCAGGAGGCACUCUAAUCUCCAAUAAAGAAUGACAUCAAUACGAACAAGAAUGGUGUCCCUCAAUUGAAGCUUAAUAAAUAUUAUCUUUCAUAGUUGUCUCCUUUUCCAGUUAGAUAAGGGCAAGUACAUUGGUCAUAUAAGGAGUGCUUUUGAAUUGAAAAUUUUGAAGGAUACUUUUGUUCCAUUAUUGUAUGUCGAAAUAUUGUUAUUAAUUUGAUUUUUACUAAUAAAAGAAGUUAUGGUCCUUUCAAUUCAGAUUUUGUUUUCUAUAUGUGGAUGUUAAUAUUCAAAUGUUGGAUGUUGCAUAAAGUGAUCCUUGAAUGGAAAGAAUACCAAAUAUAAGUUGUCCUACGCUAUAUAAAAGUGAAGAGAGUGAUCGUAAUAUUAGAAAGUAGUCGUUAAUGAUAGUUUCGGUCAACAUUAGAACAUUAU